rnacentral:rRNA from 1 species
UACGUAGGGUGCGAGCGUUAAUCGGAAUUACUGGGCGUAAAGCGUGCGCAGGCGGUUCGUUAAGUUCGAUGUGAAAUCCCCGGGCUCAACCCGGGAACUGCGUCCGAUACUGGAAGGCUUGAAUCCGGGAGAGGGAUGUGGAAUUCCAGGUGUAGCGGUGAAAUGCGUAGAUAUCUGGAGGAACACCGGUGGCGAAGGCGACAUCCUGGACCGGUAUUGACGCUGAGGCGCGAAAGCCAGGGGAGCAAACGGG